rnacentral:lncRNA from 1 species
CAAGAAAGGAGAACGUAUCCGAGUGGGGAAGAAAACAUACUUUGGGAACUGGAAACCUUGGGAGCAGCGCAUUUGUAUUGUGCGCUUAGUCAGCGCUGCAGAGCUUCAGGAAUCCCCUUGUUGGCCCUUUGCUGCACGAAGUUCUUCGGUGGUUCUACUGCAAAUGGUGAGGUCUCCUGGUUCAGAACUAUGAAAGUGCCAACGUCAUGAGGAGGAGCUGCUGCUGCCCGGCUGCUGCCAGAAGUCUGCCUGCUUGCUGCGGAGGUGCCAGCGUUUAUGAAUGACUUCCUCGCCUUUGUCAACGUGAUCUUGCCUCGGCUGAGUUGCUUUCGUUGGGUUUCUGUUGCACGGCCAGGCUCGCUUUGCCCUCCUGUGGCUGACGGAGGACGUUCAAGACGCUCUAUCUCUGUACAUCAGUGCCCUCCAGGGCUGGAGUUGGCUCAGACUUUGCCCUCUACUCAAAAACAGCUCUGUGGUGAUUGCAUUCAGUAUUUAAGAUUACUUCUAAGGUUGCUGAUUUGUUUUGAGAAUCUGAUGAAAUACAUCGAGAGGAAACAAGGCUGGGACGUCGAUAGCUGGCUCUGGAUGUUCUUGCCUUCUUGGAUGCGGCAGAGCAGGAGGGCUGAGCCCAGGCUCUCUGGGGGCUGGAGACAAAACCUCAGAGCUGGAAGCUGCAUUGUACCGUGUGGAUCCAGACGCCCACUUCAGCAAUGCCCCAUCUCUGCUGUGCGGAGAUGGCAGCGCUCACAUACAGCCCGUGCUGCUACAUCUAAGGCUCCGAGCAGCAGAAGGCUGAGUGCCGGGAAGGGAAGCUGGCUAGCCAAGCUCUGAGAGCAUUAUAACCUCCAGGUGGUACGCCUCAGUGGCAAACACUAGUGUUUAUCCUCUACGCUGGGAGAAUACUGAG